rnacentral:rRNA from 1 species
GCAGUAGCCGCGGGAAAACAGAGGGUGCGAGCGUUAAUCGGAUUUACUGGGCGUAAAGCGUGCGUAGGCGGCUUUUUAAGUCGGAUGUGAAAUCCCUGAGCUUAACUUAGGAAUUGCAUUCGAUACUGGGAAGCUAGAGUAUGGGAGAGGAUGGUAGAAUUCCAGGUGUAGCGGUGAAAUGCGUAGAGAUCUGGAGGAAUACCGAUGGCGAAGGCAGCCAUCUGGCCUAAUACUGACGCUGAGGUACGAAAGCAUGGGGAGCAAACAGGAUUAGAUACCCCUGUAGUCCCUGUCUCUUAUAC